CGCGGGGUGGAGCAGCCUGGUAGCUCGUCGGGCUCAUAACCCGGAGGUCGUCGGUUCAAAUCCGGCCCCCGCAACCA
rnacentral:tRNA from 2 species